UACAGUCACAUUCCUGAGAAUGAGAGCUUUCAUUUGAUAUAUGACUUGUCCAUUUAGGUGCUAUGUGAAGGACUUUAAUUUUUAUAUAAAUAUUUCUACCCCAUUACCUCUAGGGGGCGCUAAUUUGCGACGCGAAUGAUUUGAGGCCUUAAAGUAAAAUAAAUGCAGAAGUGAUGUUUAUCUCUGAAAAGUUCAGAUUUUAAGCUUUCAAAUGAUACCUCAUAUGCCUGACUUAUGUAUAUGUAAACGUAAACUUUUUUCGCGAUAUAGCGCUGGCGGGUCAAUAGAGUUUAAGGGAUAAAGCUUUAAAUAAUAAUAAAAGUCUACUGAAAUAUACAUCUGAAACACAUGCAAUGACUUUUUCACCGCUCAUGAGUUUGCAUCCCGGAAUUAUUUUUUUUCAUAUAUUUCAUCAACAUUGAGCACCUUUUUCGUCUCGUGGACAAAAUAAAAAAAACUUCGUCAAUGAACAUUUUUGUAAAUAAUUUCGUUGAUGAGAUUAACACGGACUUGCAAUGAACAGGCCACAUAUGUGAUUUGUUACUUUAGUUCUUUAUUAUAUAAACAAAUACAUUCUGUAUCAAUAAAAAUAAAACAAAAAAAUGACAAAAAUCUUUGUAAAAAAAAAAAAGAUCUGUGCAAAUUAAGUACAUUUCACAAACCCCUUUAUAGUUUCUCCAGCUCAACAGAUAUAUGCAUAUCAAAGUGGGCAAGCAUCUUGUAGUCUUGUCUUUGUUUUUUUAAACCGCUGCUUCUAACCAUUCCCAAUCUGUGAGUGUGAAGAAACUACGUCCUUUUAUUCACUGAUGCACAGAGAAAAUGAUCUGAAAACCAUCAAAGAGACUCGACAUCCAACUCUUGCAAGAACUCACAGACUCAUAUGAGUAAUGUAUUACUGUAAUACUUGUUCACAUUUAUCUGCCUCUUCCUAUUUAUACUUAAAACCAUCUGAAACAGAAAACAGCCCUAAUGAGAGAGCGUAUUUGAAUUCUGAAAAAUGUUUCUAUUGCCUUGAAUAUUUCCCCAUGAAUUAAAGACGUCAAGCAUCUAAAUCAGUCUCUUUUUAUUACUGAUAAUUAUUGAUGAAAAUUGCUUAUUAUGGAAGCCCUGAACCGCACUGUGAAAAAAAUCUUGGUGCCUUUCUAAACCUAUGUCCUAAUUUUUUUUCUUCUGUGUUUGCAAAUUAUUCUUGUACGAGACUAUACAUCAUCAGAUCAAGUACCACAGCUGUCAUGUCACCUUAUAAGAUUUCAUUAUUACUGAUUGUGGCACCUGGUGGCCGAGGUUGGUACUGCAUGCUAAUUGUUAGCUAGCAAGCAAAAAAAAAUUCUCAUGUGUUGCCUCUUUUUAGACAAAAAAAUAAUAAUUUGUAGAUGGAGAAAGAAGUUU